rnacentral:lncRNA from 1 species
GUGCAGGGUGAGGUAGGUGCUAGGGAGAUUUGAUCUGUAGUUUUUAGUGACUGCAGCUUCUCUUCAGAUUGUUGGUACAUGGAGAGCUAGAGGGGAGAUGAGGAUUCAACAGGCUGAGAAGGGGAUCCCUAAUCCUUCACCUCUGUGAGAGAGGGGGAGUGGGGGAGAAGAGACUCAAGUCUGGGACAGGGAGGAGCUGCCUAGGCUGGGACAGGGAGGAGUGCCUAGGACAUGGAGAAGGUGCCUAGGCUGGGACCGGGAGGGCCCAGGGUGCUGGCAAGGCCCCAUGCACUCUGUAUCUAGCUAUUGUUUUGAUUGACUGACUAUCUAUCUAUCUCUCUAUCUAUCUAUCUAUCUAUCUAUCUAUCUAUCUAUCUAUCUAUCUAUCUAUCUAUCUAUCCAUCUUUGAUUUUGAGACAAGACCUUUUCAUGUAGCCCAGGUCAGUAUUGAGUUCCUGUUGACAUGGUAAGGGCACUUUUGCUAAGACAGGACAUUGUGAAACAGUCGGUGGUGGGACAACAAGAGAAGACCAUUCACUUCCACGUGGUGCUGUCCUCUCUGCAUUCCUUCUGACCCCUGUCCUUCGUUGCUGUGGGGUCUCUUAUUCUCUUUGACUGUAAGAAAAGCAGGGCAUUCAGAGUGGACACAGAUGGCAUUGGGGAGUGUGUGUGUGUGUGUGUGUGUGUGUGUGUGUGUGUGUGUCUGUGUCUGUGUCUGUGUGUGGUGUGCAUGAGAACACAUGUGGUGUGAGAAGGAUCAAAAGGGCUAGGGCUCACCAGCAGACCAGAGCACAGGAUCAGAGAGUUUCUGGGCAGGGCGGGUAGGGCAAGGUCCUGCCUGAGUCAGCCCAGAGGAUGCUCCAUCAGACUCCUGUCAGCCUGCACAGCUGGAGCAGCAAUCCUGGUGGCACUCACUGAGGAGCCAAGAGCAUCCCCAAGACUGAGUGCGCCCUUGGCAUAUGCUGGAGAGCGAUGGAAUCCACAGGUCGGGCUCUCAGAAAACAGAGAUUUCACGGACAGGGCUGUGCAGAGUGGCUGGUACCAUCUGGUACCACGUGGGGGCACUGAUACCUCACAGGAUCGGAAAUGUGCUGGAGAGCGCUUUUCAUUUUACUGUGAGAGCCAGCCACUCCUCCUGCGGCCAUCCCAAUCCUCCGUGAACCCUCCAUCGCCCGUGCCAGGUUCUUCUUCAGAAUCCUCAGCAGCCCUCUUGGUUUCCAUGACCCUGGAGCUUUUCCUUGAGUAAAACAAGUAAACCGGACCCUUUCCAAAGUGAUAUCUGAAGUUCCAGGAGACAAGCUUGGAGAAAGAAGGCCCCUAGAAUGGACGCCCUCUCUCCUCCCUCUCCAGGUCUUCCUUCUGUAAGAACCUAUAUCAGCUCCACUUCCAGUGUAUCUACUGCUACAGCAUCAUGUUCUUUCAUUGGUGGGCUGGUGUCCCACGUGUUCUGGCUGGGAAGAUUCAGUUUGUAGCCAACACUACUCAUGCUUUUUGCCAUCUCUUCACCAAGUACCCCUUUCCAAUGGACUCCAAAGCAACCAUCGUUUCUUCAUGUAUUUUGGCCUCAGCAUCCUUUUCUUCGGCUUCCACCAGCAGACAUCCCCAAGGGACCCUGGAAGAUGCCGAGAUAAAAAGUGGAACCAGGGACUGAUACUAACAGAGCUGUCCUCCUGGAGACCCUGGCAGAGGACAGCAUAGCUCUUA